CAGGAGUAAAGGGUGACUGUAACGUACCAGAAAAAUUUCCUUGAAGCCGCUGAAAAGUUCCCGAACGACUUUCCUCAUCUGAGGCACCAGCUUGAAUAUCCGCAGAGGUCGCAGGCAGCGGAGAACAAGAAAAUAACCGAAGACUUACAAGAUAUAUAAAUAUGUCCAUGACUCCACCGAAGUCCCUGAUGACAGCAGUUGGAGUGAAAAAUAAGCCAUCUGCCAUAAUCUUCAGAUUAAGCUCAAUGCUCAUGAAUAUCACAAACACAUACUCGGCGAUCUGAAAUGGGCAGAAGGCAGGUUGGUCACAAUGAAUGCAAAAAUUGCAGGUCAGCGUUUCUCCGCUUAGCUGUGAGUUGAGAUUCGGCAGAGUACCUGCAAAGUGGGUGCGUGCAUGACUCUCCGGAAGGGGGAUUCGAACAUCAUGGAAAUGCAGGAGCAAAUGGUUACGAUAAUCAUGACCCAGUCCAGCCACGAGAAGCAGCAUGGUCAUUUAGCCCACGGUUUAUUGGUGACCCCAUCAGGACGACACGAUCCUUCUUCCUCGUAUGACAACUCCCCCUGCUGUUUGCACGACUCAGGGCCAAACCCCUGGCUGCAGUGGAGUCACUUACGCGUUGAAUCGAGCUCGGACCACCACUCGGCAGAAGUUUCUGAACCUGUGCUCCCGACCCACGAUGAACAGGGGCUUAUCGAAGUACGGGUGGUUCUCCCUCAGCUCCUCUUCCUGCACUUUCCUGGACCAGGAAAAUCGUGCGAGAGUUAGGCUAAGGGCACGUCUGCCUUCCCCAAACGAGAGCCUCAAAACACCGCCCUGCCUGUACCUUUUCAUUUCUGCUUGCUCCUUUUUCUCCUGGAUCAUCUUUAUUUCACUGUCUUCUCUUUGUGCAUUUCUAUAUCUCACUGUAUUGGAAUGCUAGAAGUAAAAUGAAAGGGGACACAUCAACGUGGGUGAUUUUUCUGACAGUCCUCCUCCAAGAUGACCAUUAAAAAAAAAGGAAAUAAAUACUUUCUAAAUAUUUGAAUGGCCACAGUCAUCUU